rnacentral:rRNA from 1 species
AACUCAAAGGAAUUGACGGGGGCCCGCACAAGCGGAGGGAACAUGUGGUUUAAUUCGAUGAUACGCGAGGAACCUUACCCGGGCUUGAAAGUUAGCGACGAUUCUUGAAAGAGGAUUUCCCUUCGGGGCGCGAAACUAGGUGCUGCAUGGUUGUCGUCAGCUCGUGCCGUGAGGUGUCGGGUUAAGUCCCAUAACGAGCGCAACCCCUACCGUUAGUUGCCAUCAGGUGAAGCUGGGCACUCUGGCGGGACUGCCGGUGUAAGCCGAGAGGAAGGUGGGGAUGACGUCAAAUCAGCACGGCCCUUACGUCCGGGGCUACACACGUGUUACAAUGGUAGGUACAGAGGGCAGCUACCCAGCGAUGGGAUGCGAAUCUCGAAAGCCUAUCUCAGUUCGGAUUGGAGGCUGAAACCCGCCUCCAUGAAGUUGGAUUCGCUAGUAAUCGCGCAUCAGCCAUGGCGCGGUGAAUACGUUCCCGGGCCUUGUACACACCGCCCGUCAAGCCAUGGGAGCCGGGGGUGCCUGAAGUUCGUGACCGCAAGGAGCGACCUAGGGCAAAACUGGUGACUGGGGCUAAGUCGUAACCAAGGUAGCC